UGUAGUUGAAGGAGCUGGGCUGCUACGGGGGUCUGACUACUGCGCGUCCACCGAGGCGAGAAAAGUGUGGAUAAUGUCUGACCAUCAUCUGUAGUGACUGUCCUGUCCUAGCCGAGCAGUGACUCUCGCCUGCCGUGGCCGGAGAGGGGAGCGUGGGCCGCUCCUGCACCUGAGGGUGUCAGCAGCGGUUUGGGAAAGGCAGUGCCCCAGUCAAUGGAGAGGCGUGGACAUGCCACCUGCACCCACCUGAGAAGACAGAUCAGACUCAGGGUGGAGUCCUCCCCGCCUCCUGGACAGCACGUUGAAGAAAGUGACUACUCCGCGACAAACCCAAGGAAUGCUUGAUAUUAAUCUAAAGCAAUGACUGUCACCUGCUGUUUAGAAUAACACUAUCGUGUUGCUUGUUUUCUCCUGUUUCCUCCACUGACUGACCCUCUGAGGGCAAAGCCUAGGCAGUUCACUUAUGAUCGUAUCCCCAGAACCAAAUUCAGUGCCAGGUACAAUGCAGGUGCCAACCACCCCUCACACUCAUCUGAUGUAGAACUGUGAUGUUUCCAUUGCCUAUGUGCCCCCAAGACAGGCAAAGUAGGUAUGACCAUAGCCAGGGGUAGUCCUGCUGGAUGAGUACUCUGUAAAUAUUAAAAUUUCAUGACCGUAGAAUAAAUUCCCAUUGACUCUAAACUUCAGUAUGUGCUGGGCAGGACCCAGAUCCUAAAUUUCUUUAGCUAGAGUCACAGCUAGGUUGAUAAGGUGGAGAAACUUACACCUCUACCUCCGGAAGUAGGCUUAGCUUGCUGGGGAAGAUCUCAGAAAGCAGCAGCCUCACAAAGGGGAGUCCCAAGGCUUGGAGCCGAGAUUCCAGGUGCUGUUGGGAGACGGGGGCAGAGCUGGGCUAAAGCACCCAAGGCUAAAUCUGC